rnacentral:misc_RNA from 1 species
GGUGUUAAGAGACUAAAAGAGAUACGNAUAUUCCNUCAUGACGUUCAGACGCACGCGCGCAUGUGUGUGUGUGUGUAUAUAUAUACGUGCACGUGUGGGGUGGUAUGCGUGUUCAGUGGUGGAAGGGCACUCCAAACGCGAAGGUCUCCUUCAAAAAGAUACUGCACACCCGCGCGUGUGUGUACUCGUUGUUAUUUCGGGUGCGUGCGCGUGUCUGCGUGUGUACGUAAGAGACAGGGGUUGGACGACACAACGCCAAAUGGGAGAGCGGGUCCGAUCGAAUUCCUGCUUGAGAGCGGAAAGUUCCACGGUAUUU